rnacentral:rRNA from 1 species
UACGAAGGGGGCUAGCGUUGUUCGGAAUUACUGGGCGUAAAGCGCGUGUAGGCGGCUCGGAAAGUCGGGUGUGAAAGCCCUGGGCUCAACCCAGGAAGUGCAUUCGAAACUUCCGAGCUGGAGUCCCGGAGAGGAUGGCGGAAUUCUCGGUGUAGAGGUGAAAUUCGUAGAUAUCGAGAGGAACACCGGUGGCGAAGGCGGCCAUCUGGACGGUGACUGACGCUGAGACGCGAAAGCGUGGGGAGCAAACAGG